AAAUGCAUCACGACAGAGGCGUCCCACUUGGUGCUCCUCUUUCUCACUCACUGCGCCCUCCUCAGUGAGUUACCGACUCCUUGAUGCUCUGAGCUCUAGGGGCCUUUCCUUCCAGCAGAGACAGGGGACAGGAGAUGCAGGUAGAGCCCCCACUUCCGAGUCCCGCACUUGAGAUCUUCGUUCAAGCUGGGUGUGCUCAUCUGCCGGCUGCUGGAAGUGGCAGUCCCCAAGGGCUCACUGUUGUCACCUCUCAGACCCCAAGAGCCUUUUCCCAGAGAUCCCUUGGAGGCGGGGACAGCCCACACCGUGGCGGGGCUGGGACAGUUACAGAGCACCAGGAGUACCUGGGCCUCCAGCUGGAACAGGCAAGGGGUGCAAAUCACCCUCAGGGCCCCUUCGGAUCAGACCCAAGCUGAUCUCCAGAGGAAACUCCUAUUCACCCUGUGUCUCCUACCUGCUCCUGCCCCUUAGAGCUCUCCUGAGAAAGCAUCUGUGUAAGAAUGCCUGCCUCAGGCUCUGCUAAGUCAGACAUAAAGUUAUAUGAAUGGUAAUUGACUCCCUAACUUGGCCCAUGCUUGCAUUUUGAGGAGGAACCCUACAUGGUGGGGUUUCCUGUCUUCUUUAAUGUAUUCCCGGAUGGUAUGUGCUAGUAUUUCACUUAUGAUGUUUUCAUUAAUGGUCAUAAAAAGAUUGUCUAUUGUUUGAUUUUUGUGUUUUCUCAGGACUUGGCAUCAUAUUUGCUGAAUAAAAGUAAUUACAUAGCUUUCUCUUUUUAUCUACCUA